UGAGGAAUAUUGGUCAAUGGACGCAAGUCUGAACCAGCCAAGUAGCGUGCAGGAUGACGGCCCUAUGGGUUGUAAACUGCUUUUAUAUGGGGAUAAAGUGGGGAACGUGUUCCCUUUUGCAGGUACCAUAUGAAUAAGGACCGGCUAAUUCCGUGCCAGCAGCCGCGGUAAUACGGAAGGUUCGGGCGUUAUUCGGAUUUAUUGGGGUUAAAGGGAGCGUAGGCCGUUUGGUAAGCGUGUUGUGAAAUGUAGGAGCUCAACUUCUAGAUUGCAGCGCGAACUGUCAGACUUGAGUGCGCACAACGUAGGCGGAAUUCAUGGUGUAGCGGUGAAAUGCUUAGAUAUCAUGAAGAACUCCGAUUGCGAAGGCAGCUUACGGGAGCGCAACUGACGCUGAAGCUCGAAGGUGCGGGUAUCGAACAGG
rnacentral:rRNA from 1 species